GGGGAUGUAGCUCAGUGGCAGAGCACUUGUCCAGCAUGCACGAGGCCCUGGGUUCAAUCCCCAGCACCA
rnacentral:tRNA from 1 species